rnacentral:rRNA from 1 species
UAGGGAAUCUUCCACAAUGGGCGAAAGCCUGAUGGAGCAACGCCGCGUGUGUGAUGAAGGGUUUCGGCUCGUAAAACACUGUUGUAAGAGAAGAAUGACAUUGAGAGUAACUGUUCAAUGUGUGACGGUAUCUUACCAGAAAGGAACGGCUAAAUACGCACCAG